ensembl:lncRNA
CAGCCCUGGGAGCACAGGUGAAAGCAAUUCACCUUUGUGACUGGAAGAGGUGGAACCAGGUUCUGCCCCUCCCCAUGCCUCAUUUAAGGGCUGGCUGCCAUGAGGGAGGGUUUUUACCUGGAGAUCCCCCCUUUCGGAGUAUUUGGCCAGCCCUGAUCCUUGAGACAGUAUAUAGCCCUGGUAAUGUCAGACAUGGAAAGAGGAGGACUGAACUUCAUAUGGUACAUUUCUGACCUGUCUUCACUGAGAAGCAAGAAGUAAUUUCCACUGUGAUGCAGCAGUUUUCAAAAAGAACUUUGAAAUUUUUGAAGUGAAGCUGGUAAGACAGAUAAAGCACACUCAUGAUAUAUUAUUCCAUUUGUCCAUUGCGUAUUCAGUAAAUUUGAAGAAGACAGUCACUCUCCAGUUCCUAAAAAUAAUAUUCCUUGGGAUUUCAUUUAAUACCAAUAAUAUACAUUACCAGUGCGUACUUUAUUUUAUUUAUUUAUUUUGUGGGGUGAUGGUCUAUAACUUGUUCGUUCUUUAUGUUCUUUUAAUAUGUUGUAGACACUUGCUAUGCAUGCACUAGUUCCACUGCCUUAAAAUUACUUCAAAGGAAAUGCUGAAACCUUUCAUUUCCCUUUAAGGGUAAUAUUAACAACACAAACUUAUUUUUUUUUUUCUUUAAUCUGUUGGUGGAUGAGCAGUUUUCACAGUGGCUGAACAGUUUUCACAGAGUAUUACCAACCUGCACUAAUGAUGUUUGCUUUCUCUUUCUAGUUUUUGAUGGGCAGGUUUCUUAUGAAAUAUUGUGCUUUGAUAAUAGCUAGUUUUUGCUUUGUGGUGACUCAAAACCAAGAGGCACUCACAGUGAAUUGCAAAUAUUCACUAAAGAUACUAUCUAUCAAUCCAGAAAAUAGUUGUUAAAGGAGCACUGGAAAUGUAUACCUACUGAGCACUUCUUUCAAGGCUUCUCAGUACUGUCUGAAUAUACAUUGGAAAUGCUUGCUUCCCACGAGCCGUUGGUGGGAAUCGCUACCUUCUCCUAUUGGUAAGAAUUCAAUUUAAAAUCCUUUUACAUCGAUGAGAGAGAAAAAGGAUAAUCAGCAAUAAUCACUACAUCACUCUUAUUUGUUACCAUCUUAAGAGGGUUGAAGGAUAUAAAUAGAGUCCAACAGGUCCUGGAGAACUGGAGAGGGAAUUCCCAAGGGGGGAGUUCACAUUCAACCCAAGGGCACUCUCAGCAUUAAAAUCCCUUCUUUGCAGUUCCAUGAUAACCCAUUUCCAUCCUUCCUCUCUGCAGUCUCCUUUCUAGUUCACGAGAAACCUCGUUAGAAGCAUUUCCUCUACUUAAUGGCUUCCUGGCUACUUUUUUCUAGCAAUAUAAGGC